GGCACUGUAGCUCAGUCGGUAGAGCACCUGCUUAACACCAGUAUGAGCAUCUCCGGAUGUUUGUCGCACAUAAUCCGCAGGUUGUCGUCGGUUCGAGCCCGGCCAGAGUCA
rnacentral:tRNA from 1 species